UGACCUCAGCUGUAGUGGAACAGCUCUGGAGUCAGCAGCUCUGAUGUGUCAAACCACUUCCUACACACAACAGCACGCACCACCACACUGAGCAUUAAGUUUGAGUUCCUGGAUUAAAGCUACUAAUACUUGAACAAAGAGCAGACUUUAUUAUCUCUUGCGGAGCCAGCCCAGUGAAAUGACGAUUUGCUGACCAAAGAGCAAAGUCCUUGCUGUGCACACAGGGUGGGGAUGCUCCCCACCAGUCUAACCAGGCAGUAGGAGGCUCCUUGGCUUGGCUGGCAGCAGCCCAUCACUUCUAAGAAACUUCACCGUCCUCAGUGUGGCAGAGAAAAGAUGUGAACAAGUCCCAUGGAGCUCAAGUGCCUUUUGAUGUGGCUCUUGUUUGGAUCCGUCAAGGGGAACAGGCCAGAAGCCUGCCCAGCUCUUCCAACAACCGAAUUUGCUGAUGUUACUGCUAAAAGGUAUCCACUGAGGACCAAACUGUACUAUGAAUGUGACAAGGGCUACACAAGAAGAAGUGGGCAGUACUUGGGAAUUCAGUGUCAGAGUAUAGAGCAGGUUGCUUCUUGGGUCUACAAGGAAUUUGAAUGCAUUGAAGAGAGAGUUUUAUUGUCAACGGCUCCCACAAUGGAGUUAGAUGCUACACAGAAACCAGAAAGAAAACCACAGAAGACCCCUGCACCCCAGAAGCAAGUAAACCUUUCAGCAUCUGACCAGAAAGAUUUCUGUGGUCCUCCCAAGACUGUUCCACAUGCCUCUUUAAGCCUGAACAGACAGUAUUACGUGGGACAAGUCUUACAUUUCAAAUGCCAGAGCGGGUACGACAAGCGACCUCCCAUCUCUGGCACUCGUGAGUGCAAGAAGGGGAAUGGCAAAAUCAGCUGGACCCCCCUUGACAUGCGAUGCACCAAUGACAGCAAUGAGUGGCUGCCACAGACUGUUGAGCCAGGUUCUACUCAUCCACCCUUUUCCUCGUCUGUGAUACUGCCAGUGACAGGUAUGGCGUUUUGUUAAUAGGACUCAACUUCACUCCAUCCCCCAGAGCAGUUACUUUGCCUUUCAAUUGGCUGUUUAAACCAUCUCAGCCCUAAGAGGUAAUAAAUACACUGCAAGAGACAUCUACAUCCAUGUAUUGGCUAUCUUUUUUGUUCUGCCUGUCAUUACUGCUGUCUUCAUGUGACUCACCAAGCAGAGAAUACAGUAAGUGGGAUGGAACCAGGAAAAUGUGAAAUCUAAAAUGAAAUUCCCUAGGAGUGGAAGAACUAUCACCCGAAUCAGUCAUCUCACUGGUGCACCACUUAGAAUUCUGAAUACCUUCUUUGAUGUUAAAUAAAUGACCC